CUUCUUCCAGAUGAGCUGGAGACAACAAAGGAUUUUGGCCAGGCCUUCUUUAAGUUUCCUUGCUGAGCUUUCACUGUGAAGCCAAAUCUGCACUGUUUGGUGUCUGCAGCUUCGUUUCUGGGUCCAGGCAACGGGAUGGAGAAAGGAUGGGGGUGAUCCAACAGCCGGCAUGGAAGAGAAACUAAAGCACUACUUCAAGAACGCCGGGUUAAUGCUGUUCUUGUUUCCCCUGUGAAGUUAAGCUGGCAUCGUGACUGGAGUGUUUGUCUUCAGUUUAUCACAUUGCUGGUGGGUAUGGCCCACUUUGGGAAGACAUAAGGAGCAUUCACAAGUAAGAAGAUUGCAGGCUCCAAAUGGAUUGUUAGGUAACAAAGGGAAGGAAAAGACCAAUCUCUCUCUCGUGUUUUCAACUUCUUUUUGCCACUGUGUUUUAAGAGUGUGUCUUCUGUCACCAACCUGAGCAUCCCCUGCCUGUUCCUCCGGAUCCUGCUGUGACAGUACCAACCAAGGUGGGGAACGAGAGCCUUUCUCCAUCACUGCAGCCUCUUCAUCUCAGUAUCCAUCUCAUAUCCACUAAUCCACUAUUCUCAUUUGUAGGCUCUGUUUUAAUUCACCAGCGUGCACACGCCUGACGUUAAGUUGGCAAGCUCGUGCCUGUGUAAAAGCUGUACAUUCUGACCAGGCAAAGUGCUGCAGGAGUGCCUGCGAGGGCAGUGUGUGAGGGGGGAUUUGCAUGCUGCAGAUGGAGCUAAUCCCUUUUCUAUGGCCAGGCUCGCAGGCAGCUGCCCCAGGAGCAGGCUGUCCAUCCUCUCUCUGUUAAGGGGCUCUGGAACAGAGCGUGUGGUGGGUCGGGGUGGGGGCAUCAACCUGGUGUGCGCAGAGCUGCGGCACUGUUCUGUCACACAGCCCCAGCUGGGUAGGAUCACAGGUGAUGUCCACAUGAGCUCAGAGGCGCCUCUGCAGCCCUUGUACCUUUGCUUGCCUCCAGUUCAGUCAGGACUGCUGCUGAGGAACAUGGCCGGGCAUGAGCAAACCAUGAGCACCUCACUGUGGCACCCAACCAGCUUCUGAAAAUUGCAAUUGCUGCUGCUGGGGCUGUAUGAUGAGAGUGCUGUGAGAACCUGGGCACGUGUUUCUGCUCCUCUGCUCUGCUAAGCCUUCAAAUAGCUGACGUAGAAUGAGGGUUAGGUUUCAUUGCAGCUCAGCUAAUGCUGAGCAAGCUGCAGAAGUUGCUGCGUGUCCAAGCAGCUGACGAGAGAUGUUUGGAGCCCCUGGAUGAAGCCAUGGAUUUCAAAGCCAACCGCAGGACGUAGAUUCUCAGCACUCACCAAAAUGAAUUGGAGUGUUAAAUCGAAAGAUCCUGUUGGCUUGGCCAAAUGAACAAAAUUCUGGUGAACAUCCCUUUGCCAUUAGAUGCAUUAAUUUCAUCAUCUGGCCUGAACGUGGGAAACUCAACUGCCAAAACGUUUGGUUGUGACUUUCAUGAUUCAUUUGCAGGUGCAAGGAUGGGCUUCCCAUACUCCUGUGAUUCUUUGUGUCAGCCCCAUGCAAUGGGAAACUUCUAGGCAGUUGCAAUGAGUGGCUUGGAAGGUGAUGAGGAGUUGUAGGUCAUUUCUAGCUCUAGUGUGUUCCUGCAGUUACCUGCCCAGAUGCCUAUGCAUUUAAAGGAGCUGGGGGCCACGCAGGAAUGAAGGCUCCCACCAAGCCAGGGAGAAAAUAGAGUUGGGUUGCAUUUGAAAUAAGGCUCGUGCAAAAAUAAUCUGCAUAAUAGCAUGUAAAAAAAUGUGACACGAAACUAAAUAUAGUGCGGUGCUGUUUUGCCAACCUCUGGUUAAUCAAAGUUAACUGCAU
rnacentral:lncRNA from 7 species